AAAGAUUAAGCCAUGCAUGUCUCAGUAUGAACUAUCUAUUGUGAAACCGCGAAUGGCUCAUUACAACAGCCAUAGUUUACUGGAUAUAUUCCAUUACAUGGAUAACUGUGGUAAUUCUACAGCUAAUACACGCAUCAAAACCCUGACUUCGGAAAGGGUGCGUUAGUUACUUCAAACUGACUAGACUUCGGUCUGGCUCCAAGUGAAAUUGAACUAUUUAGCUGAUCGCACGGUCUAAGCACCGGCGACAUAUCCUUCAAAUGUCUGCCUUAUCAACUGUCGAUGGUAGAUUAUGCGCCUACCAUGGUUGUAACGGGUAACGGAGAAUCAGGGUUUGAUUCCGGAGAGGGAGCCUGAGAAAUGGCUACCACAUCCAAGGAAGGCAGCAGGCACGCAAAUUACCCACUCCCGGCACGGGGAGGUAGUGACGAAAAAUAACAAGCUGUCUCUUUGAGUUCCGGCAUUGUAAUGGGAACAACUUAAAUCAUUUAUCGAGGAUCUAUUGGAGGGCAAGUCUGGUGCCAGCAGCCGCGGUAAUUCCAGCUCCAAUAGCGCAUAUUAAAGUUGUUGCGGUUAAAAAGCUCGUAGUUGGAUCUACGAUCAAGGCUUGUGGUCGUCCUUCUCGGAUGUACUGCUUAGUCUGGUCGAAUUAUCUGGUGAACGAUUGAUGCUCUUCACUGAGUGUCUCUAGUUGCUGGAACGUUUACCUUGAAAAAAUUGAAGUGCUCAAAGCAGGCUUACGCCUGAACAUUGUUGCAUGGGAUAAUCGAAUAGGACUUCGGUUCUAUUUUGUUGGUUUCGGAACGCGAAGUAAUGAUUAAUAGGGACAGACGGGGGCAUUCGUAUUGCUGCGUUAGAGGUGAAAUUCUUGGAUCGUAGCAAGACGACCUACUGCGAAAGCAUUUGCCAAGAAUGUUUUCAUUAAUCAAGAACGAAAGUUAGAGGUUCGAAGGCGAUCAGAUACCGCCCUAGUUCUAACCGUAAACGAUGUUAACUAGCGACUCGCAGGUGUUACUUUAACGGCCCUGCGAGGAGCUCCCGGGAAACCUAAGUGUUCGAAUUCCGGGGGAAGUAUGGUUGCAAAGCUGAAACUUAAAGGAAUUGACGGAAGGGCACCACCAGGAGUGGAGCUUGCGGCUUAAUUUGACUCAACGCGGGGAAACUCACUUGGUCAGGACACUGUAAGGAUUGACAGAUUGAAAGCUCUUUCUUGAUUCGGUGGAUGGUGGUGCAUGGCCGUUCUUAGUUGGUGGAGUGAUUUGUCUGGUUAAUUCCGAUAACGAGCGAGA
rnacentral:rRNA from 1 species